rnacentral:tRNA from 6 species
GGUAGCGUGGCCGAGCGGUCUAAGGCGCUGGUUUUAGGCACCAGUCUGAUAAAGGCGUGGGUUCGAAUCCCACCGCUGCCA